rnacentral:rRNA from 1 species
AGUUCGGAUUGUAGUCUGCAACCCGACUACAUGAAGCUGGAAUCGCUAGUAAUCGCGGAUCAGAAUGCCGCGGUGAAUACGUUCCCGGGUCUUGUACACACCGCCCGUCACACCAUGGGAGUCGGAAAUGCCCGAAGUCUGUGACCCAACCGCGAGGAGGGAGCAGCCGAAGGCAGGUCGGAUGACUGGGGUGAAGUCGUAACAAGGUAGC